UUUGAGUGAGGUCUUUGAGGCUUUAAGGUUGCUCUGUUUCCUUCCCUGACCUUCAUUUUCCUGCGUCUGUCCUGCAGGUUGAUCGUGAGCAAGAAGGAGAGGAUGCUGGUGAAGGGAACCGGUUUUCAUGUAGAUCUUUUAAUCAUCGUGGUAGUGGGCGGAGUCUCGGCUCUGUUCGGCCUGCCCUGGCUGUCGGCCGCCACAGUUCGGUCUGUGACUCACACCAAUGCCCUGACCGUCAUGAGUAAAGCCGUUGCCCCUGGAGACAAGCCUCGCAUCCAGGAGGUGAAGGAGCAGAGGGUGACGGGCUUCUUGGUGGCAGUUCUAGUAGGUCUGUCCAUCGUCAUCGGCGAAGUUCUGCGUCAGAUCCCGCUGGCAGUCCUGUUCGGGAUCUUCCUCUACAUGGGUGUGAUGUCCCUGAAUGGGAUCCAGCUCACCGAGCGACUCAUCUUGCUGCUGAUGCCCCCAAAAUACCACCCCAACCACAACUACGUCCGCAAGGUGCGGACUUUGAGGAUGCACCUGUUCACUCUCGUCCAGCUGACAUGUCUGGCUCUGCUGUGGGUCGUCAUGGCGACAGCGGCAGCGCUGGCCUUCCCCUUCGUGCUGCUGUUGACCAUCCCCGUGAGGAUGCUGCUGCUGCCCCGCCUCUUCUCCCGCCGAGAGCUGCAGAGCCUAGACGCUGAUGACGUGGAACCCACUCUGGAGGAGAAGGAGGGGCAGGACGAGUACUCCCAGCUGCAGAUGCCUGUGUGAGCGGGAGCCGCCUGGUGAUUGGUGCCUCCGCCCCUCUGUAGAGUUUCCUGUUUCGUACGCCUGGGUUUCUGUUUGCAGAGCGUCUUCCUGUUGUAAAGCUUGCACUAACGGUUCUCUGUGUCAGUAAACACGAAUAUUAUCCUCCAAACCAGUCUGUCUGUCUUUUAUUGUACGCUGCAUGAUUUCCAUUACCUCAUCCGAGCGGGUUCAGGUGAACGUCACACCGAGCUGCAGCGAGCACUGAUGUAUGAAUUAGGUAAACGGGGUUGGGUUGUCACUAGGCACAGUAGGGGGCGCUGUGGGGUUCUGCUGAUAUCAUUCUGUACUGUAUUUAAAUCUCACACUGAUUCAGUUUUUCACUUGCUAGCUAAAGCCAUAUGGUAGUUAGCUUAGAAUCCUUAUCCAAAGGUUGGCUCGGUCCAGAGAUAUUUGUGGGUGUCUUUUCUGGCAGAAUGGUUUGUGUCGAGCUGUGCACCGACAGCCAGGCUGAUGAAGUACAGCUUGGUUGUGUUGUCUGCCAGCUGUACCCCUGGUGAUCCGGAGCACCGGACAGAGUCGCUACGUCAGUAAGUUUCCUUACCUGGAUGUUGGAGCAUGCAUCAGUGAUUGAGUCCACUAUUGUUGUCAUGCUCACACUGACCUGCUCACUGUUACACUUCAUCUCCUUGGUUUUGUAUUAUUUAGUUAUCAUUUAGUCCCUGCGGUGUCAAGAAGAACAAGUUUAAAUUACGAGAAUAAUAUAAAAAAUGAGCUUGAACACAGUCAUUCAAUAUAAGAAAGAAGCCUUAUUGCACAUAAAGAGUAUUACACAGGAUGCCAUCGGUUGCACAGCUCCAGGGUAGAAACUGCUGUAUCUGUUCUGAUGCUCCUGUAUCGUUCGCCUCACAGCUGCAGUGGGAACAGAUUGUGAGCGCGGUGUAACAAGUUUUUGAUAUUUGCUGCUUUUCUGAGACAGCGAGAGCGGUGCGGUUCGUCCAGACAGGGUAAAGACCAGCCGAGGAUCCUCGGGGCAGUCUUAGCUGGAAACCACACGGAGGCAGCAGCACAGGAUGCGCUCCAUAGAACAGGGAUAGGAGGACACCAGUCGCCCCCUGGGUUCUGUCUCAGGGACAGAAGAUAAACACAUAUAACAGUCCCCAGUAGUCUGAGUCUCUGUGCUAGUUCUUUUGUUUUGAUAGUCCUUCUGUGUCUCGUUGGUUACCUGGUGUGUGUACACUGUGUAGGUGUCCUUUGUCACGUGGUCACUGUGUGUUUCCUGGAUUCAGGAUCACUUUUUUCUCCCUGCUGCUUUACCUGAGUUUUUCUGUAGUGAUGUUUCCAUCAUCAAAGCUGUUUCCUGAGUUCUAGUUCAGUCUGCAGAGUCGUGCAUUUGGCCAGCAGGUGGCUUUCAUGCCUAAACGUAUUCUUCUCUCUGUGUGAAAGAAUAAAAACGUUAUGCAGUACCAUUUUUUACUGGGACCCCACAGCACAGGGCCCACUGUGGGUCCGAGUGUUGUUCAUGGUAAGCACUUAGUUAUGGAAAGGAGAAGAGCCGGCACUUUGAUUUAACAAAGUAACGAAGGCUGUUUCAGUCUGACGGCCUAAUGAUUUAAAUCAGAUGUUUUCCCUGAGAGAUCAGAGGUCAGAGGUCAAAGGUGUCUCUUUUAUUCAGGCUUGUCACGGCUGUCACAGGGUGGCAGGUAGGGUACACCUGUACAGGUCACAGGUGUGUGAUGGACAGGCCUUUUACUCCGAGCUCAAAGCUGAAGUGAAGAGUUUGUGUUGGUGCCGUUCUCUGGAACCAGGUGUGUCAGGUGUUCCUCCGCCAGCUGCAUCUCACAGAGCUGGAGCUCCAUCAAGAAGAAGUCAGCCUUUGCAUCCACUUACUGCACCUGCCCCAUCCCCUCUUGACUCACCUGGUCGCCAUGGUAACACCUCUCCCUCCACGCCACAAUGAAUCAGUCAGAGCGUGUCGGAGAAACCCGAGCAGGCGUGGAGGCUCGCAGUCACCUGAGCCGAGCCGCUGCUGAAUGUUUGAUGGAGGCUGUCAGCAGGAACACCUGAGCAGGUAGAAGCUUCGAGCUGCAGGUCGAGGUAGGAACACCUGAGCAGGUAGCGACUGGAUCGGGACGCUGCGAGGCUUCAGCAGGCAGGUAAUGGCUCUUUAGCCCUCUCACUCUUUCCUUUCUGUAUAUGUCGAUCCUGCCGCUACCCACCUGUGUGACAUCAUCAGGUACAGUGUCAUCAGUGACCCCUGAAAACCUCGUAUCUGUGAGGGGCUUACAUCAGGUGGUUCUGGCCUGCUGAUGUAAUAACAGGCACGUGAUGGCAGGUCGAGGCAUUCAAACCGUUUGUGGAAACGUUCGUGAAAAAUCACCUGAAACUCAAACGCGUUUCUAUUUGGUUUUAUUUUGACGUGAAGCAGACGCGUUUCUAUUGGAGCAGCAGAAGUGGUCAGUGAGGUGGGGUUUGUGCACUGAACCAAUAAACUGACCACGUUUCUUCUUUCUGUAUAAGUUUUACUCUGUUUCUUUUUGGGAGAACAUUUUAUUUUUAAAUUAAAUUUUUCCUUUUUCUGAUUUUUAUAUAGCUGCAUCUACGUUUGAUUUCGUUUCCUCAGUUCGUCUCAUUCUUGCUCUGACUCCAUGUUCGGCACACUGUGUUGUAAGCAGACAUUGUUUUGUGUGUUUCUGGAGUUUUGUUGUCAGCUGGAUGGACGGUGAGAGUUUAUUAACUAAACAAAGUGUUGCUGUUUUUUAGUGCGUCAGUAACGACAUGUUUGUGUUAUUUCUUUGUUCGCUUUCUUCUUUUUCAGUUAAAGGUCAGACACUUUUUUCUGAUUAUUAAAAAAACACAGGAACAAUGAGCAGGAAGCAGUGACCUUUGACCCUGCAGGAAAUGUUAAAAUGAUCUGAUUUCUCACUUUGUGUUUUAUCUUCUGAUCCAUGAACUAAUAAACUUUCACUGCUCUCACUGAAAUAUUUCAAAGGUUUUCACUGACCUUUGCCCUACGGAGCGUGCUCAGUGGCGUUUAUCUUUCCCUGUGAUCGCGUGUGUCACACUGUGGUUUGCUCACCUAUGACAGGUGAUGAUUUCAGGAUGUCUGACGGCAGGCAGCGCACUCUGUCCACCUCUGGAGAGUCUUUGUAUCAGAUCCUGGGGCUGGAGAAAGGCUGCAGCCAUGACGACAUCAAGAAGUCGUACAGGAAGCUGGCACUGCGGUACC